rnacentral:rRNA from 1 species
GACGAACGCUGGCGGCGUGCCUAACACAUGCAAGUCGAGCGAUGAAGUUUCUUCGGAAACGGAUUAGCGGCGGACGGGUGAGUAACACGUGGGCAACCUGCCUUAUAGAGGGGAAUAGCCUUCCGAAAGGAAGAUUAAUACCGCAUAAGAUUGUAGCUUCGCAUGAAGUAGCAAUUAAAGGAGCAAUCCGCUAUAAGAUGGGCCCGCGGCGCAUUAGCUAGUUGGUGAGGUAACGGCUGACCAAGGCGACGAUGCGUAGCCGGCCUGAGAGGGUGAUCGGCCACAUUGGGACUGAGACACGGCCCAGACUCCUACGGGAGGCAGCAGUGGGGAAUAUUGCACAAUGGGGGAAACCCUGAUGCAGCAACGCCGCGUGAGUGAUGACGGCCUUCGGGUUGUAAAGCUCUGUCUUUGGGGACGAUAAUGACGGUACCCAAGGAGGAAGCCACGGCUAACUACGUGCCAGCCGCCGCAGUAAAAC